UACGAAGGGGGGCUAGCGUUGCUCGGAAUCACUGGGCGUAAAGGGUGCGUAGGCGGCUUUCUAAGUCAGGGGGUGAAAUCCUGGAGCUCAACUCCAGAACUGCCUUUGAUACUGGAGAGCUUGAGUCCGGAAGAGGUGAGUGGAACUCCGAGUGUAGAGGUGAAAUUCGUAGAUAUUCGGAAGAACACCAGUGGCGAAGGCGGCUCACUGGUCCGGUACUGACGCUGAGACGCGAAAAGCGUGGGGGAGCGAACAGG
rnacentral:rRNA from 1 species